GCAAAAAAAGCACAGUAGUUGCAGGCUGUUGCAGGCCUUCAACAGCCUUCACUCAUUGAUGCAUAUUGUCCUUAAAUGGAACAGCCAUGGCAGCUCUAAGAGCUAAAGUUACAGGCUGUUGGAAAGUCGUUGCACUCCUAAGUGUAUUGUCACCUUGUGCGUCCGAUGGAGAUCUGCAGCUCAGGCUGCAGAGGAGCAUUGGGCCGAACACCACCGUGCCUCUCAAAUAGAGCAAUUUCCUCCAGCACUCAGCAGCCCUGAGCCUGGCUGAGACGGAGAGAAGGAGAUGGAGAGAAUGUGAAUCUGGGAGGGAAAGGACACCAGAGCCUCUGGAGUGGAGCACUUGGAUGGGUUUCACACAUACUGAAAUCAUAAAGCAUGAAUAGGCCAUUUAUAAAACUGCUGUACUAUGUGACUGUGACAGUAAAUGAUAGUUGAUUUAUGCAUCUGAGACAACAACCAGAAAUAAGACCUGUGUGUAUCUGCAUAGGAUCCGAAACCAAAUAUAAACAGAAACAAGACACAACAGUGUCUGUGUUUGUGUCUACAAAAAAGAAAUACAGAGCACUUAUCACUUGGA